AUACGUAGGGGGCGAGCGUUGUCCGGAAUGAUUGGGCGUAAAGGGCGCGUAGGCGGCCCGGUAAGUCUGGAGUGAAAGUCCUGCUUUUAAGGUGGGAAUUGCUUUGGAUACUGUCGGGCUUGAGUGCAGGAGAGGUAAGUGGAAUUCCCAGUGUAGCGGUGAAAUGCGUAGAGAUUGGGAGGAACACCAGUGGCGAAGGCGGCUUACUGGACUGUAACUGAAGCUGAGGCGCGAAAGUGUGGGGAGCAAACAGGAUUAGAUAACCUGGUAGUCCAUACUGUAAACGAUGAAUGCUAGGUGUAGGGGGUAUCGACCCCUUCUGUGCCGUAGUUAACACAAUAAGCAUUCCGCCUGGGGAGUACGGCCGCAAGGUUGAAACUCAAAUGAAUUGGCGGGG
rnacentral:rRNA from 1 species